rnacentral:rRNA from 1 species
UGGGGAAUACUGGACAAUGGGCGCAAGCCUGAUCCAGCAAUGCCGCGUGUGUGAAGAAGGCCUUCGGGUUGUAAAGCACUUUUGUCCGGAAAGAAAUCCUUGGCUCUAAUACAGUCGGGGGAUGACGGUACCGGAAGAAUAAGCACCGGCUAACUACGUGCCAGCAGCCGCGGUAAUACGUAGGGUGCAAGCGUUAAUCGGAAUUACUGGGCGUAAAGCGUGCGCAGGCGGUUUGCUAAGACCGAUGUGAAAUCCCCGGGCUCAACCUGGGAACUGCAUUGGUGACUGGCAGGCUAGAGUAUGGCAGAGGGGGGUAGAAUUCCACGUGUAGCAGUGAAAUGCGUAGGGAUGUGGAGGAAUACCGAUGGCGAAGGCAGCCCCCUGGGCCAAUACUGACGCUCAUGCACGAAAGCGUGGGGAGCAAACAGGAUUAGAUACCCUGGUAGUCCACGCCCUAAAACGAUGUCAACUAGUUGUUGGGGAUUCAUUUCCUUAGUAACGUAGCUAACGCGUGAAGUUGACCGCCUGGGGAGUACGGUCGCAAGAUU